AUCAUGUUUCAAUGCACGUGAGAAUUCAAUCAAAGAACUCUGGUUGUUUUCCAGAAUUGGCUCUCUCUUAAAGGUCAAAAC
rnacentral:lncRNA from 1 species